rnacentral:lncRNA from 1 species
GCUGCCAGCAAGGACAGCCACACCUUGUUACUCACAUUUCAGGAUGGGUGUACAUAAAGAAAAAAACCAACCUCUUGGCUCUUACUUGUCAUAAUUGACUUCUUGACCAAGAAUUGUAAGCAUCUAAGUGUAGGAAGAACAUGCAUAGCUGCUCAGGAAUGUGGAGGGGAAGGGAAUAAUUUGCUUUGGAUAGGGUUGGUCCCUUCUCAAUGUGUUGUGGUGGAGUUUUUUUUUAGUUCACUUGUUCUUUCACCUUGGUCUGGAAUGGUCUUUGGAGUUUAAGCCUCUAGAGCAGCUGUUCUUAAGGGAGGUGUCUCAACAAACUGGUGUGUUGGAAUGUGUAGUGAGGAAUGCAGUAAUUUCUUACUAAUAAUAAAGAUCCAAAAUUGUGCAAAUGAAUGCACCACAAUUUUUUAAAUGAAUAAUGUGAAAACCAUAGAUACUUAAAAACAGAGCCCCACAAAAGGCCUCUAUUUUUUUCAUUGCUGUGACACCAGUGACAGUUGAUGUUUACGUACAUGAUCCAUUGGGUGUUCCCAGCUUGAUAGCUGGAAGUGUGAGUGAGGAAAAGGGGCUUGCUUCCUGAUUCACUAGAAGCCAAUACAACAACGCCAAGUUUUUGAAAAAAGAAGACUUUUUUAUUGUAAUUGCUUUUUUAUUGCAAUUGCUUUUUAUUGCAAGUCAAUUCACAAGGAGACAGGAGACCAUCUCAAAUCUGUCUCCCUGUCCUGGCUUUCAGGCAUAUUGCAUAUUCUGGCAUGUGGACAGGGUG